GUGCUUGCUUAAGCAGCACAUAUACUAAAAUUGGAACAAUACAGAGAAGAUUAGCAUGGCACCUGAGCAAGGAUGACGGUCUUGAAGUGUUCCAUAUUGAA
rnacentral:snRNA from 1 species